GACGAACGCUGGCGGCGUGCUUAACACAUGCAAGUCGAACGAUGAAGCUGGAGCUUGCUCUGGCGGAUUAGUGGCGAACGGGUGAGUAACACGUGAGAAAUCUGCCCUUGACUCUGGGAUAACUGCGGGAAACUGUAGCUAAUACCGGAUACUUUCCCUGGUGGGCAUCCACUGGGGAAGAAAGAAUUUCGGUCAAGGAUGAUCUCGCGGCCUAUCAGCUUGUUGGUGAGGUAAUGGCUCACCAAGGCGACGACGGGUAGCCGGCCUGAGAGGGUGACCGGCCACACUGGGACUGAGACACGGCCCAGACUCCUACGGGAGGCAGCAGUGGGGAAUAUUGCACAAUGGGCGCAAGCCUGAUGCAGCAACGCCGCGUGAGGGAUGAAGGCCUUCGGGUUGUAAACCUCUUUUAGCAGGGAAGAAGCGAAAGUGACGGUACCUGCAGAAAAAGCACCGGCUAACUACGUGCCAGCCGCCGCCGCGG
rnacentral:rRNA from 1 species